AGCAGCCGCGGUAAUUCCAGCUCCAAUAGCGUAUAUUAAAGUUGUUGCAGUUAAAAAGCUCGUAGUUGAAUUUCGAGACCGGUUUACUGGUCGUGCUUUUGUACGUACUGGUAUUAUUGGUUUCUCCUUUCUGACGAAUUAUAAUGCCAUUAAUUUGGUGUUUUGGGGAAUCAGGACUGUUACUUUGAAAAAUUAGAGUGUUUAAAGCAGGCUCACGCUUGAAUACAUUAGCAUGGAAUAACGGAAUAGGACGUUUGAUUUUAUUUUGUUGGUUUCUAGGAUCGACGUAAUGAUUAAUAGGGAUAGUUGGGGGCAUUAGUAUUCAAUUGUCAGAGGUGAAAUUCUUGGAUUUAUUGAAGACUAACUACUGCGAAAGCAUUUGCCAAGGAUGUUUUCAUUAAUCAAGAACGAAAGUUAGGGGAUCGAAGACGAUCAGAUACCGUCGUAGUCUUAACCAUAAACUAUGCCGACUAGGGAUCGGAUGAUGUUAAUUUUUAAU
rnacentral:rRNA from 1 species